CCCCUCUAUACCGUUUGUCUCUGCCGUGUUGCCUGCCAGAAGCAAUGUCUGAUGCCUCCACUUGGCAGCCACAGGCUGUGAGGUCAUCUUUUCACCACUCGCUGUUCCUUCAGCAUUUAAGCUCUCUGGCAGUGACUCAAUGUUUACAAUCGCAUUAACCUGUGAGGAACGCCGUGGCUGUGUCGAAGAACAAGGCCCCUGCUGGCACCAAGGUCACGCCUUCCAAUGGAAGGGGAAGCAGUGACAAAGGUGAAAAUCAUGGCGGUAACAGAAGUCAUUUACAGUGCGGAGUCUCCAACCCACAAUCACUGGGCAUCCCAUGGCUUUAAGACAAGAAAACUGAGGCUGAAACAGGUCAUGGCUUAUGCCAAGUCUGGCUGAUGCAGAGAAUGAGGCUGAGGCUCCAUGGUCCACGAGCAGCCUGUCCUCAAGAGCAUAGACAAUUUUGCUGAGCACAUCUGACAUAUGACAGGGUGAUGGAGAGGAGCUGGAAGGACAUUUCCUGGGCACGCCUGAGACAUUCCCCAAAUGAAAAGGAGAAAAUUGAAUCCAGAGACACUGAACAAAUGGGAAAAGAAGGAACGACCAUGCCCCUGUCUGACAGGCUGCCCGCCUGGGGAUGGCAACGGGAGAAAGCAGAUGGCUGCGCUGGCACACAGCAGCUGGCUGGAGCAGUACAAAUUGAGCACCCUUGGUGAAUAUCAUUAGGGUAAGUGGUGCACUAAAACACCUAGAGGAAGAACAAGCAAGCAGAACACACACACACACACACACACACAGACACACACACACACACACACACAUGCAUUUUUAAAUUUUCAGUUUAUUCUUUCAAUUUCCCUUCACUACAAGGUAGGCUCCAUGAAGACAGGGCCUUUGUCUGUCUUAAUAAUUAUUAGUUGGAUACAUGAAAAGAUGAAUGAAUUAAUUAUUAAGCAUCUCCCAUAACAGACAUAGUGCUAAGCAUAGAGGAUGGUUUCUGCAUCAGGAGGAAUCACAAGGGGAAAUAAAUAAGACCUUCAACUACCAAGUGGUGUGUUUAGUGUUAUGAAGGAGCUGAAAGGGUCCCAGAAGAAGCUAGGCUUUGGGGGUCAGGAGGUCUCAAGAAACGCACCAGGUGGUGGUUGAAGAUUAGCUCAGGUAUUACAAGAAAAGCCUAAAUGGAUCAGAAGUAGAAGACGGAGAACUGAGAGAAUAGCAUGUGCUAAAGCCAGAAACAAGAGGGGGCUAGAGGAACUCCAAGCAGCACCAUGUCAUGUGGAAGGGACAUAGCCUUUUGAAUUAGACAGACCCAAGUUCAAAUUCUAACGCUGCUCCUUACUACCUGAGUAUUUUUGAACAAUUUACUCUGCUAGACUGAUCUUUGGUUUUAAAAAUCGGUAACAUAGGAAAAAUAUUGCCAGCAUUUCAGGUUCUUCCAAGGAUUACAUGAGAUCGUGUUUUCUAUAGAGGAUGACAUGGUUGAGAUCAGGAAUUGCUGGCUGCUACUCUAGUGUGGAAUCGGGGAAAGGUGGCCUGAACCAGCAGGCAGGGGUCAAUUCAUCUGUGGCUUGAGGGUCCCAGGAGAAUUUUGUACUUUGACCAGGAGGCAUGAGGAGUAGUUGCAGGGUUUUAAAUAAAGGGAUUAUGAGAGUGCAGGCAAUGAGAGUUUUUAGUAGUCACUCACAAUAAUCCUGGAAGGAAAUAAAGGUCUCUCCAAGGAAGAUGCAAUGGGAAUGAAGAGGAGAGGAUGCACAUAGGAUACACAGGAGGAAGAACUGAUAGGACUUUAUUACUUAUGGGUCCUAUGAAAGGAAGAGACAUCUAGAACUAUUUCUACUCAUACUUCUUAGUAAGCUCUUCAGAUGAGAGUCAGAACCAAACUCUUUUUUAACAGCGGGCAAUAAAAUAAGUACAGGAUCCAGAGUAAAGGUUUACAAUGUUUUAUAGAAAGAUAUUUUAAUUUGAAUUUUAUGAAAGUAUCAAUCUGCAAUAGAUUCCUCAUUUUAGUUGAAGAACCAUUGGUUUACAACAGUGCUGUCCAAUGCAAGCCACGUAUGUAAUAGGUGACAUUUAUGUUAAUAUUAUUUUUUAUUUAACCUUAUAUAUCCAAAGUAUUUUCAUUUUGUGAUAGUUAAUAUUGAGUGUCAACUUGAUUGGAUUGAAGGAUGCAAAGUAUUGUUCCUGGGUGUGUCUGUGAGGGUGUUGCCAAAGGAGAUGAACAUUUGAGUCAGUGGGCUGGGAGAGGCAGAUCCACCUUCAACUGGGUAGGCACAAUAUAAUCAGCUGCCAGUGCAGUAGGAUAAAAGCAGGCAGAAGAACGUGGAAAGACCAGACUGACUGAAUCUUCCAGCCUUCAUCUAUCUCACAUGCUGGAUGCUUCCUGCCCUUGAACAUCAGACUCCAAGUUCUUCAGUUUUUGGACUCUUGGACUUACACAAGUGGUUUGCCAGAGGCUCUCAGGCCUUCGGCUGCAGACUGAAGCCUGCACUGUUGGCUUCCCUACUUUCGAGGUUUUGGGACUCAGACUGGCUUCCUUGCUCCUCAGCUUGCAGAAGCCUAUUGUGGGAUUUCACCUUGUGACCAUGUGAGUCAAUAACCCUUAAUAAACUCCAUUUCAUAUGUA